CUUAAUAUGUUAAGUGGUGUGUUUUUUGCCACAACGUCACAGUAUUUAAAGAGAUCAAUUUGCAGAGGCACAUCCAGAGCAAGCAUUCAGCGAAAUACAAAAAUUGUCACCCGAUACUACAAUUCAACAAGUCCAAGCGCAGAUGCAGCCUCACUGAAAAACAUAUUGCAGCAGUACCGCACACUGCUUCAACAGAACCGCACACUGCUUCAACAGAACCGCACACUGCUUCAACAUAUAUGACUCCUGACUUCACCUCACUUGUCAACGCCCAUACGAGGCUCUCCUGUUCAUAUUGAAAGGCUACAGGACUACAACUUCUGGAUUGGGGGACUAUCAGAAGAAUCUGGAUCAGGGGGGCUUCCAGACGUACCUGGAUCAGGGGGACUUCCAGACGUACCUGGAUCAGGGGGACAUCCAGAUGAAUCUGGAUCAGGGAGAAUUCCAGACGAAUCUGGUUCACUGGGACUUCCAGAUGAAUCUGGAUCAGCGGGGCUUCCAGACGUACCUGGAUCAGGGGGACUUCCAGACGAAUCUGGACCAGGGGGACUUCCUGACAAUUUCUAGAACACAAACACAACUGUGUUGGGACAGAACCAGAGCAUACCAUUCAACGUGGGCUUCGAUACUAUGGUUGUGUAGAGAUGAUCCGAUUACUUUAUUUUGCACAACCUCCCUCAUUACGAGGACGCCAGAAAAUACUAAGACUGAAGUAAAUGUCGCAAAUGACAAAGCUGCAGGCGGAUUCGGCUUCAGCCGCCAGGAGAGAGCCGAUGACGUCGACACUUCCAGUAGUUAAGCUGUUGGCUCCAGGCUGCACAGUAAGACCAUCAUACUCAGAGCCCCACUGAGAUAGGAAGCCAGGUCACUGGGUGAGCAGGGAGUUAGCAGGUAGACACGGACAAAAGAGCAGUGCUCAAAAGGGUCCAGGAGAACUCAAACAGGAUCCAAUUAUUUUCCUGACAUACAGAAACUGUGUUUACCUACCAAAAGAAAAAAAAAAGGUUUAUUGGUUCUGAUCAAUAUAUUGUGAAAGUGCAGAAGGAAAGAAGUGUGUGUGUCUGUGCAUACAUGCCAGAAUGCAUUCGCGUGACACGCUCAUGAGUGUGUGAUUGUGAGAUUUGCAUCAG
ensembl:lncRNA